GGUAAAAUGGCUGAGAUUAGGCGAUUAAUUUGUAAAUUUAUAAACGAAUAAAAUUCUUUUACCA
rnacentral:tRNA from 1 species